rnacentral:ncRNA from 20 species
AGCAGAGUAGGUGUUUAUGCGUUAAGUGCCGGGUAUACGGGGAGUUGAUAGCCGGACGAAAGCCAUCAGGCUGCGGUGUAAGCAUUGCAUCCCGCUGCU